rnacentral:sRNA from 1 species
AUUUAGCCCUGAUAGCAGCGGCAUCCUUUUUUUUAAAAACUCACUUUAUUGUAUGCACCAACUCUAAUUUAACAACUUUUUUCAAAGCUAUAAAAACUAGCUUUUACUAAAAAAAGAUAUAGCGAAUAGCAGGAUUAGCU